AGGUGACGAAGUGGUUGAUGCCAUGCUUCCAAGAAAAGCUUCUAAGCUUCAGAUAACUAGGAACCGUACCCCAAACCGACACAGGUGGUUGGGUAGAGAAUACCAAGGCGCUUGAGAGAACUCGGGUGAAGGAACUAGGCAAAAUGGCACCGUAACUUCGGGAGAAGGUGCGCCGGUGAGGGUGAAGGACUUGCUCCGUAAGCCCAUGCCGGUCGAAGAUACCAGGCCGCUGCGACUGUUUAUUAAAAACACAGCACUCUGCAAACACGAAAGUGGACGUAUAGGGUGUGACGCCUGCCCGGUGCCGGAAGGUUAAUUGAUGGGGUUAGCUAACGCGAAGCUCUUGAUCGAAGCCCCGGUAAACGGCGGCCGUAACUAUAACGGUCCUAAGGUAGCGAAAUUCCUUGUCGGGUAAGUUCCGACCUGCACGAAUGGCGUAACGAUGGCGGCGCUGUCUCCACCCGAGACUCAGUGAAAUUGAAAUCGCUGUGAAGAUGCAGUGUAUCCGCGGCUAGACGGAAAGACCCCGUGAACCUUUACUAUAGCUUUGCACUGGACUUUGAAUUUGCUUGUGUAGGAUAGGUGGGAGGCUUUGAAGCGUGGACGCCAGUUCGCGUGGAGCCAUCCUUGAAAUACCACCCUGGCAACUUUGAGGUUCUAACUCAGGUCCGUUAUCCGGAUCGAGGACAGUGUAUGGUGGGUAGUUUGACUGGGGCGGUCUCCUCCUAAAGAGUAACGGAGGAGUACGAAGGUGCGCUCAGACCGGUCGGAAAUCGGUCGUAGAGUAUAAAGGCAAAAGCGCGCUUGACUGCGAGACAGACACGUCGAGCAGGUACGAAAGUAGGUCUUAGUGAUCCGGUGGUUCUGUAUGGAAGGGCCAUCGCUCAACGGAUAAAAGGUACUCCGGGGAUAACAGGCUGAUACCGCCCAAGAGUUCAUAUCGACGGCGGUGUUUGGCACCUCGAUGUCGGCUCAUCACAUCCUGGGGCUGAAGCCGGUCCCAAGGGUAUGGCUGUUCGCCAUUUAAAGUGGUACGCGAGCUGGGUUUAGAACGUCGUGAGACAGUUCGGUCCCUAUCUGCCGUGGACGUUUGAGAUUUGAGAGGGGCUGCUCCUAGUACGAGAGGACCGGAGUGGACGAACCUCUGGUGUUCCGGUUGUCACGCCAGUGGCAUUGCCGGGUAGCUAUGUUCGGAAAAGAUAACCGCUGAAAGCAUCUAAGCGGGAAACUUGCCUCAAGAUGAGAUCUCACUGGAACCUUGAGUUCCCUGAAGGGCCGUCGAAGACUACGACGUUGAUAGGUUGGGUGUGUAAGCGCUGUGAGGCGUUGAGCUAACCAAUACUAAUUGCCCGUGAGGCUUGACCA
rnacentral:rRNA from 1 species